rnacentral:lncRNA from 1 species
UAGCUCCAUUUCCGUUCCUGAGGGAGGGGCCUCUGAGGUCCUCCUGCCUUGUUAAAGAAGUGUGGUUGGUUGUGCAGCCCCCACCUUCAGAACUGCCUGGCCCAGCUGAGAACCCAGAGUCUGAGGGGGAAUCAAGUUCUGGAAGGAAAGCCAGAACUCAAGCACUGAGCUGGUUGCAGUCUCCCCCACCCCGCCACCCCUGCUCCCCGCUCCAAAAGCUGCAAUUUUCUCACCCGUCAUGUCGGAACAUAAGAGCUCCUGAAACCUUUCUACCAGAUGGCGGUUAGGGACCGUUCAUCAGUAGCCCUUCCCUCCUCAACCAAGCCAUC